rnacentral:rRNA from 1 species
AGUGAACGCUGGCGGCGUGCUUAACACAUGCAAGUCGAACGAGAACGGAAUAUAGCUUGCUAUAUUUGUCAGCUAAGUGGCGCACGGGUGAGUAAUGUAUAGAUAACCUGCCCUUAAGAAAGGAAUAACAGUUGGAAACGACUGCUAAUGCCCUAUAUGCCUUUAAUACAUAAGUAUGCAAGGGAAACGCUUUAGUGCUUAAGGAUGGGUCUGUAUGGUAUCAGCUUGUUGGUGAGGUAAUGGCUCACCAAGGCUAUGACGCCUAACUGGUUUGAGAGGAUGAUCAGUCACACUGGAACUGAGACACGGUCCAGACUCCUACGGGAGGCAGCAGUGGGGAAUAUUGCACAAUGGACGAAAGUCUGAUGCAGCAGCGCCGCGUGGAGGAUGACACAUUUCGGUGCGUAAACUCCUUUUAUAUAGGAAGAUAAUGACGGUACUAUAUGAACAAGCACCGGCUAACUCCGUGCCAGCAGCCGCCGUAA